GCCGGGCGGCGGUGGGGGGGACUGCUGACCGGCUGCACGGAGGAGGACGGCUCGGCGGCCGCCCGGCCGGAGCCCGCGGGGGCGGCGCCGACCCCCGCCGGCAGGCGCUGGGAGUUGAAAGGCAGGCAGCUCUGUGGGCUGUAAAAGGGAUGCUGGCUGAACUCGUCUGCGGGUGGCCCUGGGAUGGGGCUUUAGAGUGUGCGCGGAGAAGUCCCGGACCUGGCCUCCUCUUGGAGUGUCGCUCCUCUGGCCUCAGCAUCCGGCUCUCUGGCCGUCUGGGCAUGUCCUGGUUUAGCGGUCUCCUGGUUCCCAAAGUGGAUGAGCGGAAAACAGCCUGGGGCGAACGCAAUGGGCAGCAGCGCCUGCGCCGUGGGACUCGGGCCGCCGGCUUCUGCGCACCUCGCUAUAUGAGCUGCCUCCAGGAUGCAGAGCCACCCAGCCCUACCCCAGCCGCUCCCCGGAGGUGCCCCUGGCAGGAUGAGGCCUUCAUCCGCAGGGGGGGCCCGGGCCCGGGGAAGGGCGUGGAGCUGGGGCUGCGGGCAGUGGCCCUGGGCUUCGAGGACGCGGAGCUGACGGCAGCGACGGGGGUGACUGAGGUGGCACCGCGGCGCGGGCGAUCGUGCUGGCGCCGCCUGGCGCAGGUGUUCCAGUCCAAGCAGUUCCGCUCGGCCAAGCUGGAGCGCCUAUACCAGCGCUACUUCUUCCAGAUGAACCAGAGCAGCCUCACGCUGCUGAUGGCGGUGCUGGUGCUGCUCAUGGCUGUGCUGCUGGCUUUCCACGCUGUGCCUGGCAGCCCUCAGCCUGCCUACGUGGCCCUGUUGGCUGGGGCCGCCACCCUGUUCGUAGCGCUCAUGGUGGUGUGUAAUCGGCAUAGCUUCCGCCAGGACUCCAUGUGGGUGGUGAGCUACGUGGUGCUGGGCAUCCUGGCUGCCGUGCAGGUCGGGGGCGCCCUGGCAGCCGACCCGCACAGCCCGUCUGCGGGCCUCUGGUGCCCCAUGUUCUUCGUCUACAUCACCUACACCCUCCUGCCCAUCCGAAUGCGGGCUGCCGUUCUCAGCGGCCUUGGCCUUUCCACUCUGCAUUUGAUCUUAGCUUGGCAACUCAACCGUGGCGAUGCCUUGCUUUGGAAGCAGCUUGGUGCCAACGUGCUGCUGUUCCUCUGCACCAACCUCAUUGGUAUCUGCACACACUACCCAGCCGAGGUGUCUCAGCGCCAGGCUUUUCAGGAGACCCGUGGUUACAUCCAGGCCCGGCUGCACCUGCAGCACGAGAACCGGCAGCAGGAGCGGCUGCUGCUGUCCGUGUUGCCCCAGCAUGUUGCCAUGGAGAUGAAAGAAGACAUUAACACAAAAAAGGAAGACAUGAUGUUCCACAAGAUCUACAUCCAGAAGCAUGACAAUGUCAGCAUCCUGUUUGCCGACAUCGAGGGCUUUACCAGCCUGGCCUCCCAGUGCACCGCACAGGAGCUGGUCAUGACUUUGAAUGAGCUCUUUGCCCGGUUUGACAAACUGGCCGCGGAGAAUCACUGCCUGAGGAUCAAGAUCUUAGGGGACUGUUACUACUGUGUGUCAGGGCUGCCAGAGGCCCGGGCAGACCAUGCCCACUGCUGUGUGGAGAUGGGGGUGGACAUGAUCGAGGCCAUCUCGCUAGUGCGUGAGGUGACAGGUGUGAAUGUGAACAUGCGCGUGGGUAUCCACAGUGGUCGUGUGCACUGCGGUGUCCUUGGCCUGCGGAAGUGGCAGUUCGAUGUGUGGUCCAACGACGUGACCCUGGCCAACCACAUGGAGGCCGGGGGCCGGGCCGGCCGCAUCCACAUCACUCGGGCCACACUGCAGUACCUGAACGGGGACUACGAGGUGGAGCCUGGCCGUGGUGGUGAGCGCAAUGCAUACCUCAAGGAGCAGCACAUAGAGACCUUCCUCAUCCUGGGUGCCAGCCAGAAACGGAAAGAGGAAAAGGCCAUGCUGGCUAAGCUACAGCGGACGCGGGCCAAUUCCAUGGAGGGUCUGAUGCCACGCUGGGUGCCUGACCGCACUUUCUCCCGCACCAAGGAUUCCAAGGCCUUCCGCCAGAUGGGCAUUGAUGAUUCCAGCAAAGACAACCGGGGUGCCCAGGAUGCUCUGAACCCUGAGGAUGAGGUAGAUGAAUUCCUGGGCCGUGCCAUCGAUGCCCGCAGCAUCGAUCAGCUGCGCAAGGACCACGUGCGCCGGUUCCUGCUCACCUUCCAGAGAGAGGAUCUAGAGAAGAAGUACUCGCGGAAGGUGGACCCCCGCUUUGGAGCCUACGUCGCCUGUGCCCUGCUCGUCUUCUGCUUCAUUUGCUUCAUCCAGCUCCUCGUCUUCCCCCAUUCAACCCUGAUGCUCGGGAUCUAUGCCGGUAUCUUCCUGUUCCUGCUGGUCACUGUGCUCACCUGUGCCGUGUACUCCUGUGGUUCUCGGUUCCCCAGGGUGCUGCAGCGCCUGUCUCGCGGCAUUGUCCGCUCGCGGGCACACAGCACAGCAGUUGGCAUCUUUUCAGUCUUGCUUGUGUUUACCUCCGCCAUCGCCAACAUGUUCAACUGCAGCCACACCCCCAUACGGAUGUGCGUGGCCCAGAUGCUGAAUUUAACUCCCUCCGACGUUACUGCUUGCCACCUGCAGCAGCUCAAUUACUCUCUGGACCUGGAUGCGCCCCUGUGUGAGGGCACCACACCCCCCUGCAGCUUCCCUGAGUACUUCGUUGGGAACAUGCUGCUGAGUCUCCUGGCCAGCUCUGUCUUCCUGCACAUCAGCAGCAUCGGGAAGCUGGCCAUGAUCUUAGUCUUGGGGCUCAUCUAUCUGGUGCUGCUUCUUCUGGGUCCCCCAGCCACCAUCUUUGACAACUAUGACCUGCUGCUUAGCGUCCAUGGCUUGGCUUCUUCUAAUGAGACCUUGGAUGGGCUGGACUGCCCAGCUGCAGGGAGGGUGGCCCUCAAAUACAUGACCCCUGUGAUCCUGCUGGUGUUUGCGCUGGCACUGUAUCUGCAUGCCCAGCAGGUGGAGUCUACAGCUCGUCUGGACUUCCUCUGGAAACUGCAGGCAACAGGGGAGAAGGAGGAGAUGGAGGAGCUCCAGGCGUACAACCGGCGGCUGCUGCAUAACAUUCUCCCCAAGGAUGUGGCUGCCCACUUCCUGGCCAGGGAGCGCCGGAAUGAUGAGCUCUACUACCAGUCGUGUGAGUGUGUGGCCGUGAUGUUUGCCUCCAUCGCCAACUUCUCUGAGUUCUACGUGGAGCUGGAGGCCAACAAUGAGGGCGUCGAGUGCCUGCGGCUGCUCAACGAGAUCAUCGCUGACUUUGACGAGAUCAUCAGCGAGGAGCAGUUCCGGCAGCUGGAGAAGAUCAAGACUAUAGGCAGCACCUACAUGGCUGCCUCGGGGCUGAAUGCCAGCACCUAUGACCAGGUGGGCCGCUCCCACGUCACCGCCCUGGCUGACUACGCCAUGCGGCUCAUGGAGCAGAUGAAGCACAUCAAUGAGCACUCCUUCAACAACUUCCAGAUGAAGAUCGAUGGACUGGUGGCUGGCAGUGGUUCACAGCUUAGGUUCUGGGAUCAGGCCGUCUGGUUUGAAUUCUGGCUACUCCACCUCUACUGGCUUAUUGAGGCUGAACAUGGGCCCAGUUGUGGCCGGUGUCAUUGGGGCCCGGAAGCCGCAGUAUGACAUCUGGGGGAACACGGUGAAUGUCUCUAGCCGUAUGGACAGCACAGGGGUCCCUGACCGAAUCCAGGGUGUACAUUAGCAGGAAGUUGGAAUCAGAAGUGGAGCCAGUACUUCAAACAAGUAACCUACAAUACAGAAUGUGGUGCUGUUCCAAGAAGUAUCUUACAAUUCAGCUCCUAACAGCUGUCCCAUCCUCCCCCCAAGCCCACACACUUAACCACCAAACUAAACUGCACCUUGAAAUAAUUUAAAUGGCUUCCAGAAAAGACCAAGGAUUUGAAAAGGUGCAUCCAGCCUCCUGAUGGGCUAACCGGUGGAUAGCUCACUGGGGAUCCUGUUAAGGUUGUGUGCUCACCUGGAGCAAUGUUGAGUUGGGUGGGGAAACAAAACAUGAUUGCCUUGAUCCAGAACCAAAACCUUGCCUCACUGAGCUCUACUGAAAUGUGAACUAUCAUUUCCUAUGGCCAGUACUGGGGGGAGUAGAGGUCUGGAACUUAGUGGGUCACUCUGCCAGUGGACUGGACCAGUUGCAGUGGGGAAGACCAGAAAGGCUGAGCCCUAUGGGAAAAGUGGCAUGUUUGCUGCAGCAGACACCUAGUUUGGAGGUAGACCCACAUCUUUGGUUUUGAUAAGUGUAGCUCUGAGUAGCAUAGUACCUUCCCCUUCCCCUUCCCCUCUAGUCUCACAUGGAUCAGGACUGGUAGUAUGUAGAAGGCACAUAUGGGUUGUUUCCAAGACACCUUUACAUUAAGAAAGGCCAAGGGGUCCAGAGGCUCUGGACAGCUCAGAAAUUGUUGGCUGAAUUGUGCCAUUCAUGCUCUUGUUUGAAAAACCAGAACUAUGGUGCCCUCUGCUGGAGCCCAAGUAAAUGGCAUCUCCAGCUGUCUCCUGACUAAACAGGCAGCUCAGAGGCCAGGAGAACUGGGAGGUUGAGCAAAGGACAUGCUGGCCAUGAUUGGGAAAACCACCUGUUGAGUUCUCCUGCAGGAUUCAGAAAAUGAGGACACAAGUGAGAUGCAUGCAUCUUUUAUCGGAGACUUAAGGGUUAAGCUUCUCUUUGAUGCAAUUCAUUUGGAGCUGGAAGUGAGACCAUUUCUAGGCAGGGUGUGUGAGUGAAUUCCUCUGGGAAGAGAAGGGUAAGGGCAGCCAUGGAGGAAGCUGAAGUAAAGCCAUGUGGUUGUGAAGAGCUUAGUGGUCAGAGUGUGACUAGAGAGUACUCGCUGGACAGUCUGGCAGGGAGAGGUCGUUUGUCUUAAGAACAAGCCUGAUUGGGGCUGGUGCUGUGGUGUAGCGGAUAAAGCCACUGCCUGCAGUGUCAGCAUCCCAUAUGGACGUCAGUUCGAGUCCCGGCUGCUCCACUUCUGAUUCAGUUCUCUGCUGUGGCCUGGGAAAGCAGUGGAGGAUGGUCCAAGUACUUGACCCUUGCAUCCGUGUGGGAGACCUGGAGGAAGCUCCUGGCUUCAGAUUGGCACAACUCUGGACAUUGCAGCCAAUUGGGGAGUGAACCAGCAGAUAGAAGACCUCUCUCUCUCUCUCUCUCUCUCUCUCUCUCUGCUUCUCCUUCUCUGUGUAACUUUGACUUUCAAAUAAAUAAAUAAAUCUUUAAAAAAAAAAAAAAGCCUGAUCUCUCCCCUACUACUCAUCCCUAUCAAUGGGCCUCUGAGUUUCCUAGCACUGAGCAAUAUCCUGAGUGCCUGGACUUGUGUUGUGAUGAGAUCUAGCCUACAGGGGUAACCUAGGAUUUUCUUAAGAUAGGGCAAGAGAGUUAACUCCGAAAAGGGCCAGAUUAGAGGGAAUUUAUCUGAAAUCCAAACCAAGACACUUCUAGACUAACAGGAUUAUCUAGGUAUGAGGCUAAGGGUGGAGAAGAGAGCAGGGUUCAAAGCAGAUAGUGAGAUAGAAUUAUCAGAGGAAAAAUCAGAGAGAUUACCAUGCUCUCCUGUGCAGGACAGAAAGGAAAGCUUAGGUACUCGAGAGACCAUGGCAGGGGUUGUGGCACAGUGGGUUAAGCUGACACUUGGGACUCCAGCAUCCCAUAUCAGAGUCCUGGCUGCUCUAUUUCCAAUCCAGCUCCCUGCUCAUGUGCUUGGGAAGCACAGAAGAUGGCUCAAGUAUCUGGGUCCCUCCCCCCGACAUGGGAGACUCAGAUGGAGUUCCAGGCACCUGGCUUUGGUCUUGCCCAGUCUUAGUCUUUGAAGCCAUUUGGGGAGUGCACCAAAGGAUUCAAAAUUUCUUUCUCUAUCUCUCAUUCUUUCUUGCUGUUCAAGUAAACAAAUCGACAGAGAGAGAGAGAGAGAGUACAUCAUAUCAGGGCAUAAGGUGGACAAACUCUGGAACACUGGAAGCUGGGCUGAAGUUGCAGGAGCAAUUCAUUUCAGGGUCAGAAAGCAUGAAUUGGGAGGAAUAGCAAUCUACGCAUUGGUGGACCUAAGAAUUCUGAUCAGUGUGCAAGGUACUCUUUGUAGGCAGUUGUAUCUGACUAAGAUCUUGUUAGAGCCUGGAUAAAGGCAGCCAGAAGCUUUCACUAUUCAAGGAGUCCUUCCCCUUAAAAAUACUGCUUUUCAAGUAUUCUAUCCUGGCAAAGAUGUCUUAAAUAGUGGACAUUUAUAGGAAAGCUAUAUAUUCUGUAUGUAAAUAGUUAUCUGGAUCCAAUGGAUAACUUUUUCUCCAAUAAUCUAUUGUGCAAUUGUAUAUGCUAUGUCUGAGGUGCAUUACAUACAUUAUUUAAUCUCCAUAACAAAUCUGUAAUACAGACAUUAUUUACAAUUACAAGUGAGGAAAUGGAGGCUCUGUGCAUUUGCUUAGUGUGAGUUAGUCCCCCCACCCUCCAGCUCUGAACAAUUUUGAGUACCUGAUAAAGCUGAGUUUCCAGGGGUAGGCUUUUGGCAGAGUUGUUACAAUGCUGCUUGGGAUGCCUGCAUCUCCUAUCAGUGCGCCUGGGUAUGAAUCUUGACACCACUCCAGAUUCCAGGUUCCUGCCAAUGCACCCCCUGGGAGACAGUGGUAAUGGCUCAAGUAGUUGGGUUCCUGGUACCCAUGUGGGAGACCUGGAUUGAGUUCUGGGCUCCUGAAUUUGGCCUGGUCUACCCUAGGCUAUUGCAGCAUUUGGGGAGUGAACCAGCAGAUGGAAGAUCUUUUUCUGUCUCUCUCUGCCUUUCAAAUAAAUAAAAAUUUAAAAUCAUAAUAGUGAUAACAAACUGGGUUUCUGAAUCUGUGAAUAGACUGAAGUAUGCUUCCUGCACCUGUUUUUCUCCUUUGGUUUUUCUAUUGUGGCUCUUUAUCAGGAGGAGAAGCUAGGAAGGAGGCAGAGACUGGCAGGAUAUUUGAUUACGUGUGGUUGAGUCAGCUCUGAGUUUUCAUUAGAAUCAGCUUGAGUGGGCCAUUUUGAGUUGAAUGUUCAUAUACUUACACCUACGAGGAGAAAAAAAAACCCCGUCCUUGAAAGAAAAAUUAUGAAUGAUUAAAACUAUCAUGAUACAGUACUAAGAAUGAAAGGUAUGAGUAUGAAUAGGUUCAUUGUUACAGUUGCUCUUUAAGGCCUAUCUGAGGAGCAGGUAAGAAUGUGGCUGAUAUGAUCAUAAGAACAGGUUGACAUGCCAGAGCAGGUGCAGUGUGUGUGAGUCAAGUGUGUAUGUACCCUCUUCCCCCCUUAUUUGUGAGGAAUAAAUGUCAAGAUCCCCAGUGGAAGCCUACAACCAUGAAUAGGAAUAUGAACCAUGAAUGAUAGCACUGAAUCCUAUAUUUGCUAUAUGUUUUCCUAUAUACAUACCCAUGAUAAAGCUUAAUUUAUAAAUUAGGCAGAGAAAGAGAUUAGCAACAGCUAAUAAUAAAACAGAAUAAUUAUAACAAUAUACUGUAAUAGAAGUUAUAUAAGUAUAGUCUCUUGAAAUAUAUGACCUACCUUUCUUGGGUUGCUGGGAGAUGAUGCAAUGCCUAUGUGAUGAGAUGGAGUGAAUGACAGAGACUUUGGGAGGUAGCCUACUUACAUAAAGGUUACUCGACCUGAAGCACAGUGACACUGCAAUAUCUGAUAACUGGGAUGGCUACUCAGUGACUAACAGGCGGGUAGCAUAUACAGUGUGGAUGUGCUGGACAAGGGAAUGACCCAUGUGCAUGGUGGCAUGGAGUGGAACGGUGAAAGGUUUCUUAGGCAACUCAGAAUUGCACACAAUUUAAAACUUGGGAGUUAGUAGUUUCCAGAAUUUACCAUUCAGUAUUUUUGGACCCCAGUUGAUGGUGGGGAACUAAAAGCACAGCAAGCAAUAUUGUGGAUAAGGGGAAACUACUGUAGUAACUAGGUGAAGAAACUGAUACCGGCUGGCACCAUGGCUCAAUAGGCUAAUCCUCCGCCUUGCGGCGCCAGCACACUGGGUUCUAGUCCUGGUUGGGGCGCUGGAUUCUGUCCCGGUUGCCCCUCUUCCAGGCCAGCUCUCUGCUAUGGCCCGGGAGUGCAGUGGAGGAUGGCCCAAAGUGCUUGGGCCCUGCACCUGCAUGGGAGACCAGGAGAAGCACCUGGCUCCUGGCUUUGGAUCAGCGCGAUGUGCCGGCUGCAGCACGCCGGCCGUGGUGGCCAUUGGAGGGUGAACCAACGGCAAAAGGAAGACCUCUCUCUCUCUCUCUCUCUCUCUCUCUCACUGUCCACUCUGCCUGUCAAAAAGAAAAAGGAAAAAAAAAAACUGAUACCAAGUAAUCAUUCUAGAGACAAGGGUAGAUUACAAAAGACAGUGUUUCAGGAUUGUCUGGCUUGUGGAACUAAGAGUGAAUAUAGUCAGGAAUUGUGGGUUCCUUCAACUAGCAGACAUACCGGAGGGAACUUAAAAGUUCAUUCAGAGGUUGAUGCAGUGGUUAAGAUGUUUCUUGGGAUGCCUGUAUCCCGGAGCAGAGUGCCUGGGUUCAAGUCCUGACUCCACUUCCACUUUCUACUUAAUUUCUACAAUGGAUUUUCAAAAGAGUUCAUAGAAAUGUGUGUUAGAAAAGAAUUAUGCAUGGGCUUCAUGGGUAAGCUGCCACUUGGGAUGGGCCCCCUCCCAUCAGAGUGUUUGGGUUCAAGUUCCAGCUCUGUUCUCCAUUCCAGCUUCCUGCUGAUGCACAUACUGGGAGGUAUCAGUGAUGGUAUCAUCAGGUAUUUGAUGAUCAGAAGCCAGGAGCCAAAAGCUUCUUCCAGGUCUCCAAGUAUAUGUGGAGUUCCAAGUACUUUGGCCAUCUUUGACUGCUUUCCCAGGUGCAUUAUCAGGGAGCUGGAUCAGAAAUAGAGCAGUCAGGCUCCAAUACAGGACACCAGCAUCACAGGCAGCAGCUUUACCCGCUAUGCUGCAGCGCCGGUCCCCCCACCCUGACCCACCCCCAGCUGCUGACCUUAUGAGAAUUAACAGUUUACUGUUUAGAAGGAUGGAAGUCACUAGUGACUGGAUACUCGCAGUUGUAGUGGAGUGGUUGGGGAAAGAGCCUGGCCUCAAGAAAGAGUUGCAGGCGGCCGGUAGCUGGUAGUGGGUAAAGCCACUGUCAGCAGUGCUGGCAUCCCAUAAGGGCACCAGUUUGAGUCCUGGCUGCUCCACUUCCAAUCCAGAUCUCUGCUAUGGUCUGAGAAAGCAGUAGUGGAUGGCCCAAGUCCAUGGGUCCCUGCACCCAUGUGGGAGACCUGGAAAAAGUCCUGGCUCCUGCCUUCAGAUUUGCACAGCUCUGGCCUUUGUGGCCAUUUGGGGAGUGAACCAAUGGAUGGAAGACCUCUCUCUCUCUCUCUCUCUCUCUCUCUCUCUCUCUCUCUUUCUCUCUCUCUCUGCCUCUCUAUAAUUCUGCCUUUCAAAUAAAUAAAUAAAUCUUUAAAAGGGAAAAGAAAAGAAAGAAUUGCAGAACAAUCAGACAACAAAGAACAGGAAACUCUUUCCAGGAAUUUUGCUGUAUGGUUGGGGAGGGCCAUGGAAAUAGUGAAUGUGGGGUUCCAAGACACAAGGAAGAGGGGCUGGCAUUGGAGUGCAGCAGGUAAGCUACCACUGUGACACUGAUGCUGGCAGUCAACAUAUUGGAGUCCCAGCUGUUCUGCUUCUUAUCCUGCUUCCUGGGAUGUGCCUGGGAAGGCAGUGGAUAAUGGCUCGGGUACUUGGGCCACUGCUGCCCAUGAGGGAGACCUGGAUGGAGUUUCAAGUUCCUGGCUUUGGUCUGGCCCAGUCCUGGCUGUCAUGGGCAUUUGGGGGGUGAACUAGCAGACAGAAGAUCCCUUCUUCUCUGUCACUGCCUUUCAAAUAAAUAAACAAAUAAAUAAAUAAAUCUUUUUUUUUAAAAAGAAAGAUGUAAGAAAGAAAUGGAAAAACUAAUACCAAAAAUAAAUAAAUAAAUGAAAAGUUAUUGGAGUAGUUUCCUUGAGUGCCUAUAUGCCCUAAAACUUGCCAUGCAGAACCAGAGUUCAGCUCAGGGGUACUUCAUGUGCCUUUAAGGAAUUCUUAGGGAGGGACCAUAAUUACUAUUGAAUAGAAUUUCCAGGUAAAAGAUUGACUGAUGUAGCUGAAAUUGUUGAAACCAAACUUGGCAGAGGUUAGCCAAAUUGGCUGAAUGUCUUUUUUUUUUUUUUAAAGAUUUAUUUAUUUGAAAGACAGAGUUAGAGCAAGAGUGAGAGCAACAGAGAGAGAGAGAGAGCGCCAGAGAGAGAGAGAGAUCUUCCUUCCAAUGGUUCACUCCCCAGAUGGCCACAACAGCCAGGACUGGGCCAGGCUGAAUCUAGGAGCCAGGUGCUUCUUCUGGGUCUCCCAUGUGGGUUCAGGGGGCCAACAACUUAGGCCAUCCUUCACUGCUUUCCCAGGCACAUUAGCAGGGAGCUGGAUUGGAAGUGGAACAGCCAGGACUUGGACUGGCACCCAUAUGGGAUGCCAACGCUGCAGGCAGCAGCCUAAGCCACUAUGCCACAGGGCUGGCCCCCUGGCUCAAAGUCUUUAUGGAAAGCGUAGAGGCAUCACAAAUAUUAUUGUACGCUUUCUUUUGCUAUGAGGUCAUGGACAGUGGGCAGACUGCAUAGGUAUGUCAGGGUUUGCACAAGAAAAAGGCUAGAAGUGGGAGGUGGGUUUCAGGCUUCUUGCUGGGCUGCAGUGAAAGCAGUACAAUCCAAGUGGGACGUGGAGGUGCCUUCCUACAUUUUUGGCUUUGAGCUGUUAAGAUUUUGAAAUUUGCUUUUAUGAAGAUGAAACUCGGGCCUGAGCUCUCUACACACCCCUAGAUUGCUCUCAUUCUUCAGGGUGUUGCACAGACAUCACCUCCUUGAUUACUCUAUCUUCACUGCAGGUGAGCCUCUCCCAGUUAUUCUCCAUAUUGGGAUCUGCAAUUUAGUCACCCAUAGGGCCAGACAAAUGCUUAUGAGUAGAGCGAGCUGGGUAAGAAACCUACCCUACCUGAAGGAACAGCUGCUACACUGCUCUGUUACUUGUCAUUUAGGAUCACAGUUUAGAGCCAAUGUGGCCAGAUAUAAUUUUUUUAAGAAGUCAGAAAUGUGGUUUUAUAUAAUAUUUCCUGACUUUAAGUGUUUGUCCGAAUUUCUGGGAAACAUUCUGCAGGCUGAACAUGUUACCGGGCUGUAUCUGGCCCCAAGAGCAGCAGUUUACAACUUCUCUUCUGUUGCAUUACCCUGUUAUUUCCUUCCUUGAACUUGUCAUAAUCUGUAUCUUAUUUACCUUUUAUCUAUAUUUGUCACUGAAGUAUAUCUAGUGCCUAACACAGUGCCUGGCAUAGUCAGUUCCCAAUAAGUUAAUGUCAGUUGUUGGAUGAGAGAUGGGGUCUGGAUUGGUGCCUUUCUUAGGAGCUUUUUCUUUUUAAUAUAUUCUGAAUAUUAUUGUACACAUGAAUCAUAGAUAUGUACAUAUGUGCAUGUAUAUGGUCUUUAUACAUGUGUAUAUUUGUGUAGAUAGAUAUCGCUAUACAUAUAUCUUUAUAUAGCACACAUUUUUUCCCAGUCUCUCUAUUUUUAACUCUAUGAUGUCUUUUGAUGCGAACUUAGAAUGUAUUCAGUAAAAACUGUCAGUCUUUUAGUCAUCUAGGCUUAAUGUCUUCUAAUAAAAAGUUUCUUUUCUUUCUUUUUUUUUUUUUUUUUGACAGGCAGAGUUAGACAGUGAGAGAGAGAGACAGAGAGAAAGGUCUUCCUUCCGUUGGUUCACUCCCCAAGUGGCCACAACGGCCAGAGCUGCGUGGAUCUGAAGCCAGGAGCCAGGAGCCUCCUCCAGGUCUCCCAUGCGGGUGCAGGGACCCAAGGACUUGGGCCACCUUUUUAUUCAUGCCAGAAUAGCUCUCAGCUGCAACAGGAGUGGUUCAGGCCUCUUUUAGAAUGCUUUCAGGGGAAACAGAGAACAUAGACCACUAGAAACUAAAAAUAUGCAUUGCCUUUCUUUGAAAAAGCUAUUUGAAAAUUAAGAAUAAAGGGGUAUUUCUUAGUGUAAUAAAGAUCUCCUACCUCACGUCAUGCUUAAAAAUAAAUUCUAGAUGAAUUAGAGAACUAAACGUAUGAAGUAGUCCUACAGAAACAUUAGGAAAAAACCAGAAUAUUCUUAGAAUCAAAGACUGGUUAUAGAAACUUUUCUGGGGCCUUCGCUGUGGUGUAGCAGGUAAAGCCACCACCUGCAGUGCCAGCAUCCCAUAUGGGCACUGGUUCCAGUCUCCCCUGCUCCACUACCGAUCCAGCUCUCUGCUGUGGCCUAGGAAAGCAGAAGAAGAUGGCCCAAAGUCCUUGGGCCCUGCACGGGCGUGGGAGACCUGGAAGAAGCUCCUGGCUCCUGGCUCCUGGCUCCUGGCUUCGGAUUGGCCCAGCUCCGGGCCAAUCUGUGGCCAUCUGGGGAGUGAACCAGCAGAUGGAAGACCUCUCUCUCUCUCUCUCUCUCUCUCUCUCUCUGCAUCUGCCUCUCUGUAAUUCUGGUUUUCAAAUAAAUAAACAAAUAUUUUUUAAAAAGACUGAAUAUUAAAAAAGAUAAGUAGAGGAAUUGUUCAAGUUAUUCAAGAAGAUGGGGUGGGCAAUGGACAGCAGGUUAAGCCACUGCUUAGGAUGCCUUUCCCCUAUAUUAGAGUGCCUAGGAUGGAUUCCCGCCUCUACUGUUGAUCCAGUUUCCUGCUAAUGUGCACACUGGAAGGCAGCAGAUAAUGAUUCAUGUAGUUGGGUCUUUGCCAUCCAAGAAGGAGACCCAGAUGGAGUUCCUGGCUCCUGGCUUCAGUGUGUCCCAGCCUUGGCUACUAUGGGCAUUUGGAGAAUGAAGCAGCAGAUGGAAGAUCUAUGUCUCUCCCUCUCUCUGUCCUUCUGCCUUAAAAAAAAAAAAAAAAACAAACAAACAAACAAAAAAAAAAACAGCUUGUAUAUAUAUGUAGGCCCUUUCUUAACUAUUACAGAAAGCAGAUAGAGGGUUGGCAAGUAACCUAUCAGAGAGAAAGUUUUUAUCUACGUCUGUGGUGAAGGAUACAUCUAGAAGUAAGCUAAUUCAUCUUACAGGCCCAAAAUUUAGAAUGUAACAUGUUUCACAAAAUAUAGGAGAGUAACCUGACUCCUGGCUUCGGCCUGGCCUGGCCCCAUUUAUGGCCAUUUGGGCUGUGAACCGGUAGAUCGAAGAUUUUCUCUCUCUCUCUCUCUCUCUCUCUCUCUGUGUAACUCUGACUUUCACAUCAAUAGAAGAGAAUUACUGAAGCUGUUUACAGAGCAUUUAGCAUAAUCAGGCACAUCACUCUGCCCUACCAAGGAUAUGAAAGAUUUCCCUAGAAGAGCUCAAUCUAGGAGGCAAUGCAUCCCUGGACAGGAUUCACUGCAAAGGCUGGCAUAUGGUGCAAGAAUGAAAGUCUGAUGAUGGAGUGAAAGCCAGAUCCCCAAAAGAUCUCUCAAAACCUGCUUCACCUGUCCUGGUCUGAGGAUGCCAAUAGACGAGCACAUAACCAAUCUCCCAAGGAUUCUUCUCUGGAAAAAACUGCAGAUCCAGAGGGAAGCUUCCAGUGAAGCCCACAAAAGGGCAGCUCCCUCCAUGGGCUCCUAGUCAGCUUCUUCAUUAAAGGGGAGGCGAGGAUAAACAGAUAUUUGAGGGCAAUAAUCAAUGAGAAAACAGAGGCCAAAAUAAACUCACAGGAAAAAGGACUCAGAAGAAACAGAACUAAUGUAGAAAACAGAAGACAAUUUCAAAUAAAUUAUAAUAUCUUUAGAGAAAAAGGAGAAAAUAUGAAAAGGAAAACCAAAAGGCCAAGAAUGUCCCUUAGAAAUCAAAAUACAUGGCACUGGCCGGCGCCGCGGCUCACUAGGCUAAUCCUCCGCCUAGCGGCGCCGGCACCCCGGGUUCUAGUCCCGGUUGGGGCGCCGGAUUCUGUCCCGGUUGCCCCUCUUCCAGGCCAGCUCUCUGCUGUGGCCAGGGAGUGCAGUGGAGGAUGGCCCAGGUGCUUGGGCCCUGCACCCCAUGGGAGACCAGGAAAAGCACCUGGUUCCUGGCUCCUGCCAUCGGAUCAGCGCGGUGCGCCGGCUGCAGUGCGCCGGCCGCGGCGGCCAUUGGAGGGUGAACCAACGCCAAAAAAGGAAGACCUUUCUCUCUGUCUCUCUCUCUCUCACUGUCCACUCUGCCUGUCAAAAAAUUAAAAAAACAAAAAAAAACAAAAAAAACAAAAAAAACAAAAACAUGGCACUUGCCCCUUAUCCACAGUUCUGCCUUCUGUCAUUUCAGCUACUUGCCGUCAAUCAUGGCCCAAAUAUACUACAAAGAAAAUUCACAAAAUAAACAAUCUAUAAGUUUUAAAGAUAACUUUUACCAUAGUAUAUCAUUUGAAUUAUUCCAUUUUAUUAGUUAUUAUUGUUACUUUUACUGUAACUAACUUAAAAUGUAAACCUUCAUAGGUAUGUGUAUCUAGGAGAAGACACAGUACAUAUAAGGCUUGAAAAUAUUCAUGGUUUCAGGCCGCCACUGGGGACCUUGGAACAUAUCUCGUACUGUAAUAACCAAAAUAAAAUAUUCUAAUGUGAGUAGUGGUUUUCACAUAUGCCAUACAUUCUUUGAUAUUGUCCCUUUCAAGAAGAGGAGCUUGGGUAUGGGCUGGAUUUAGUGACUCUCUUCUAACAGAAAGAGUGGGAGGGACAGUCACUUUUUUUUUUUUUUUUUUUUGACAGGCAGAGUGGACAGUGAGAGAGAGAGAGACAGAGAGAAAGGUCUUCCUUUUGCCGUUGGUUCACCCUCCAAUGGCUGCCGUGGCCACGCUGAUCCGAUGGCAGGAGCCAGGUACUUCUCCUCAUCUCCCAUGGGGUGCAGGGCCCAAGGACUUGGGCCAUCCUCCACUGCACUCCCUGGCCACAUCAGAGAGCUGGCCUGGAAGAGGGGCAACCGGGAAAGAAUCCGGCGCCCCAACCAGGACUAGAACCCGGGGUGCCGGCGCCGCAAGGCAGAGGAUUAGCCUAUUGAGCCACGGCGCCGGCCAGGGACAGUCACUUCUGAGACCAGGUUAUAAAAAGUUAUUUAGUGCCCUUGCUGUCUCUGAUCACCUGCUCUGGGGAGAGUUAGCUGAGAACGCUCAAGUAAAGUGAGAAAGUGAGAAACUGAUGUGUCCUGUCACUAGCCAAAGAACUGAGGGCUCUAACCAUCUUGGAAAUGAAUCCUCCAGGCUCACCUUGUCUAUAUAAAUACAGCCCUGGAUGACAUCCUGUCUGCAACCCCAUGAAAGACCCUGGCCCAGAACCAUCUGAGCUGCUCCUGGACAUAUUACAAGGAUGUAAUGAUUGUUGUUGUAAGCAUAACUCUAGGGGAAUGUGUCACUCAACAAAAGAUAAUUAACAUAGAAGGAUGAAAGAUAACAUUCAGGAAGCCUCCUCAAAGGGCAAAUACUACUAAUAAAAGAAAACGUAGGGGCUGGCACUGUGGUGUGAAGCCGCUGCCUGCAUCCUUUAUGAGCGCCCAUUUGAGUCCCUGCUGCUCCACUUUCCAUCCAGCUCUCUGCUAUGACCUGGGAAAGCAGUUGAAGAUGGCCCAAGUCCUUGGGCCCCUGCACCCAUGUGGGAGACCCUGAAGAAAAUCCUGGCUCCUGGCUUCACAUCAGCUCAGCUCUGGCCGUUGUGGUCAUUUGGAGAGUGAACCAGUGGAAUAGAAGACCUUUCUCUCUCUCUGGCUCUAGCUUUCUCUGUAACUCUAUCUUUCAAAUAAAUAAAAUAAUUCUUAAAAAAGAAAUAGAAGAGAGGAUAUAGAGGAUAAUAAAAACAAGAAAACAUAGAGAAAGGCUAUUAAGUUAAAAGAUCAAUUAAGGAUGUCAUAAAAAAGAAAAAAAAUUUUCUUCGGAAAUGAAAGGUAUUAAUUACCAGAAUAAAAGAGCUCAUCAGAGUGCCCAUCACAAGGAUGAAAAAAGACCUACUGCAAGUCCCAUGAUUCUGAAAUUUCACAAAUCUAGGGAAUAAAAAAGAAAAUUAAAAGCCUUCACAAAGAAAUUAGAUACAAAAGAAUCUAAUUGGAAGAUGGAAGACAACAAAAACAUAUCUUCAGAUUUCUGAGAAGAUACAUUUUCUUUUCAGAAAUAAGUUAAGGGCCAGCACUGUGGCAUAGUAGGUUAAAGCCCCGGCCUGCAGCACCAGCAUCCCAUAUGGGCACCAGUUCGAAUCCCAGCUGCUUCACUUCUUAUCCAGCUCUCUGCUAUGGUCUGGGAAAGUAGUAGAAGAUGGAUCCAAGUCCUUGGGUCCCUCCACCCGUGUGGGAGGCCCAGAAGAAGCUCCCGCCUCCUGGCUUUGUUCUGUCCCAGCCACCGCUGAUGUGGCCAUUUGUGGGGUGAACCAGUGGAUGGAAAAAUCUGUCUCUCCUUUUUUUCUCUGUAAUUCUUUCAAGUAAAUAAAUAUUUUUAAAAAAUUAUUUAUUUCUUUGUUUAUUACUUAUUAUUUGAAAGGCAGAGAAAGAAGCAGAUACUUGCUGGUUCACUUCCCAGAUGCUUGCCACAACUGGGGUUUGGCCAGGCUGAAGUCAGAAUCCAGGAACUCAGUCUAGGUCUCCCAUGUGGGUGGCAGGGAGUCAACUACUUGAGCCAUUACCUGCUGCCUCCCAGGUUGUACAUUAGCAGGAAGCUGGAAUAGAGAACAGAAGUUACUCCAUUAUGGGAUGUGGGUGUCCCAAGCAGUAUCUUAACUGCUAGGCCAAAUGCCUGUCCCAAGAAAACUAUUUUCUUUUUUUUUUUAAGAUUUUUAUUUUUAUUUAUUUGAAAGUCAGAGUUACACAGAGAAAGGAGAUGGAGAGAGAGAGAGAGAGAGGUCUUCCAUCCGUUGGUUCACUCCCCAGAUAGCCACAACAGCCGGAGCUGCACCGAUCUGAAGCCAGGAGUUUCUUCUGGGUCUCUCACAUGGGUACAGGGGCCCAAGGACUUGGGCCAUCUUCUACUGCUAUCCCAGGCCAUAGCAGAGAGCUGGAUCAGGAGAGGAGCAGCCAAGACUCGAACCAGCACCCAUAUGGGAUGCUGGCGCUUCAGGCCAGGGCAUUAACCCACUGUGCCACAGCACCGGCCCCAGUGCUUCUAUUCUUUGUCAUAAUUCUCUGAGCAAUAUGGUAUAACAACUAUUUACAUAGUAUUUACACUGUAUUAGGUAUUAUGGGCAAUCUAGAGAUGAUUUAAAAUAUAAGGGAGGAUAUGUGUAGGUUAUAUGCAAAUACUGUGCCAUCUCAUUUAAGUGACAUGAUUAUCCUCAGAUUUUGGCAUCUGAGAAGGCUCCUGGAAGAACCAAUCCCCUGUAGAAACCAAGGGACAAUUGUACUGGAAAAAGAAGGGUCAGGAAUGGAAAGUAUGUAGUUUUGGAAAGCAAAAUUCUGAGCUGUCUUAAUGGGAAAGCAGUAUACACAACCAAAAAUGGAUAAUAUGGGAAAGCAGUAUACACAACCAAAAAUGGAUAAUAUUCAGAAUAUACACAUUUUCUUUAGAAUUAGAAAGGCAAAUUCCAAAAUAAACAAUUAAAAGAGUUGAAAAUGAUUGUCUCUAGAGAGAGCAGAUGAGAAGGCUGAGGCAGAGGACUCUUGUUUUUCUUUAAGAGACUUUUUUUUUUUUUUUUGACAGGCAGAGUGGACAGUGAGAGAGAGAGAGACAGAGAGAAAGGUCUUCCUUUUUUGGCGUUGGUUCACCCUCCAAUGGCUGCCACAGCCAGGUGCUUCUCCUGGUCUCCCAUGUGGGUGCAGGGCCAAAGCACUUGGGCCAUCCUCCACUGCACUCCCGGGCCAUAGCAGAGAGUUGGCCUGGAAGAGGGGCAACCGAGACAGAAUCUGGCGCCCCAACCGGGACUAGAACCCAGGGUGCCCGCGCCACAGGCGGAGGAUUAGCCUAUUGAGCCAUGGCGCUGGCCCUUUAAGAGACUUUUAACACUAUUCUUUACAUGUAAAAUUACUCUGAAAAAGAAUAAAAAAAGAUAAAUAUUUGUUACAUUAGAUUUAGGGAAAGCAAGUAUAAAAUAUUUGGGGAAAAUCAUAAAAUAAAUUUAAAAAUCAGAUUGGUUUGCAAAUUUGUAAUCAAACUGAAAUUAUAGAUGAUGCAUUGAGAGACAAGAGGUUAUGACCCUCAUUCAUGGACACGUUUUCCAAGAAAAGGAAGUUCUUUGACACUAUACCAAAAAAAAAAAAUGGUAAGUGAACCCACAUUUAAACAUACUAAGUGAAAACAAAGUAUGUAUGUGUUUUUUCUUCCCAACUUACAUUUUAACCUUUGAAAAAUUUAACUGCCCAACUGUUUGUCAGUGAUGAGAGAUUCUAUUGUACUUAUACUCAACUUUUAUCAAAUAGUACUUAGUAAUCGAUUCAAAUCUGCUAGCUUGGUUGGGAUAUGUUUAUACCAAGUAUAUGUAGUGGUGGUUAGAAGUUUUUGGAUCAGGUGAGUCACAGCCCAGGGUCAGACGGGCCACAUUUAGUUCAAGAUGCCUCCUUGAAGGAUGAGAUCAAUGGUAAUUGGUUGCCAUGCUAAAUGGUUAUUUCACUAAAUUCUUUUUUUUUUCUUUAAGAUUUUAUUUAUUUAUUUGAGAGGUUACAGACCAAGAGAGGCAGAGACAGAGAGAAAGGUCUUCCAUCCACUGGUUCACUCCCCAAAUGGUGCAAUGACAAGAGCUGGGCUGAUUCGAAGCCAGGAGCCAGGAGCUUCUUCCCAGUCUCCCACUUGGGCCAUCUUCCAUUGCUUUCCCAGACCAUACCAAAGAGCUGGGUCGGAAGAAGAGAAACCAGGACUAGAACCGGUGCCCAUAUGGGAUGCUGGCCCUGCAGGCAGAGGCUUAGUCCACUAUGCCACAGUGCCAGCUAUUUCACUAAAUUCUUAUCCCAGAAGUAAAACUCCUGAAUUUUCUUUGGAGGAAUAAGGAUAUGUGCAGAUGAACUCCUAGCACUGAGUCUUCACCAAUAAUUCCAGUAAAGUUUAAGCACAGAAAAUGAAUCGAAUUAUUGCUUUGGUUUCUGCAUAUAGAGUUGGAUCACAAGCAGAUGAUUCUCUGAUGUGUAUAUGAGAGAAUGAGAGAUCAGAAAAAACUCAUCCAAUUAUUCUUUCCCUUCCAGUAGCUUGCAGAAUGCUAUCCAAAAGUUGUUAAGCUGCAUAGGGGCUAUGUGGGGAGCCUGCAAGGUUUUGACUUUAUAUAGGAGGUCUCAACUCAACAAGUUUGACCAUUAGUGUGGCAAAGUUACCAUUCAGCUACAGUGAAUGGUGGACUCUUGGCAAUCUUGAGACCACUUGUUAGGGAACAGCAAAUAGCUAUAAGAAAGUCCAUCUGACAUUUGAACUCUGGAUUUUGGGGUUAAUAGAUUUUUCCUAGGAACGCUGAUCAUCAAUCAUUUGUACAGUGGCCUGUUCACAGGAAAAGACUUGUGUAAUAGAACUCUAUAAGUAACAAAGUAUUUAAGACCACAGGUGGAGAUGUUAAGACAAUUUGGGGAGCCUGCGCUGGGGCGUAGCAGGUUAAGCCACUGCCUGCAGUGCUGGCAUCCCAUGUGGGUGCCGGUUUGAGACCCGGCUGCUCCAUUUCCAAUCCAGCUCUCUGCUAUGGCCUGGGAAAGCAGCAGAAGAUGGCCCAAGUCCUUGGGCCCCUGUAUACAUGUGGGAGACCCAGAAGAUGCUCCUGGCUCCUGGCUUUGGAUCAGUGCAGCUCUCGCCAUUGCGGCCAUUUGGGGAGUGAGGCAGCGGAUAGAAGACCUCUCUCUCUCUCUCUCUCUCUCUCUCUCUCUCUCUCUCUCUGCCUCUCCUUCUUUCUCUGUGUAACUCUUUGAAGUAAAUACAUAAAUCUUUAAAAAAAGGGGGGGGGAUUGUAGUUCCUUACAGGAAUGUUAAGAAGGUUAAAUUAAGCAUGUAGAAUGCCUAAUAAAUGCCUGGCACACUGCACAUAAUGAUAAAUAGUUGACUAAGUGCUUGAGGCAAAAAAGUAUGGAUUAAUUAGAAAUUAUCCUCUGUCUUAAGAGGGUAUGAAGCUGGGAGUGGUGGGAAGAGAGCAAAGAAUAUGGGUAGCAAAUUUAUUGUCCAGUCUUUCUCUUAACCUUACUUUGGCCUUCUGCCUCCGAGGCUCUGCUACCAGACUAAGAAAGUGGGUAAGCAGAUGACAUCAGGAUACUAAUUUAAAAUAAUUUUAUUUAUGUAUUUGAAAGGCAGAGAGACAGAGACAGGUUUUCUAUCUGCUGGUUUACUCCCCAAAUGCCUGCAAUAGCUGGAGCUGAUCUAGGCUGAAGCCAGGAGCCUGGAACUCAAUCUGGGUCUCCUGUGUGGGUUGCAAGAGACCUAAGUACUUGAAUGGUCACUGCUGCUUCCUGGUGUGCAUUAGCAGGAAGCUGGAUCAGAAGCAGAGGAGCCAAGAUUUGAACACAGACACUCCAGGAUGUGAUGUGUAUGGGACUUAACCACCAUACUAAAUACCUACUCCAAGGCUUCCAUUUUUUAUAAAGUGAAUCUUCCUCCACUAUAUUGACUUUGUGCUUUUAUACUUUAGCAGUCACUUCUUCCCCACCUGAGUACAAUUUGCUUCAGUUUCCACCUAUCUUUAAGUUCCUUCACUUUUCCUAGAUUUAUCGUCAUAUCUUCUGCAAAGCCCCCCCCCCCAACUUCCUGCUUUAUAGUCAUUCAAAAUCAUUGAUUCAUUCAUUUACUCAACAAAUAAUAUUAUGGGGGAAGGCUAGGCAUUGUGAAUUUUUUUAAAGAUUUAUUUAUUUGGGCCGGCGCCGCGGCUCACUAGGCUAAUCCUCCGCCUAGCGGCGCCGGCACACCGGGUUCUAGUCCCGGUCGGGGCGCCGGAUUCUGUCCCGGUUGCCCCUCUUCCAGGCCAGCUCUCUGCUGUGGCCAGGGAGUGCAGUGGAGGAUGGCCCAGGUGCUUGGGCCCUGCACCCCAUGGGAGACCAGGAAAAGCACCUGGCUCCUGCCAUCAGAUCAGCGCAGUGCACCGGCCGCAGCGCGCAGGCCACGGCGGCCAUUGGAAGGUGAACCAACGGCAAAGGAAGACCUUUCUCUCUGUCUCUCUCUGUCCACUCUGCCUGUCAAAAAAUAAAAAAAUUAAAAAAAGAUUUAUUUAUUUGAAAGUCAGAGACAUAGAGAGAGAAGGAGAGGCAGAGAGAGAGAGAGAGAGAGAGAGAGAGGUCUUCCAUCCACUGGUUCACUCCCUAGAUGGCUACACUCUCUCUUGGGUCUCUGUUUCUUAUCUGUGCUAUAUCCCUUUCAUGUUCAUUAAGUGAAGCCUAAUCACUCUUUAACACUCACUUCUGGAAGCACUUCCUGUAUGGGAACUUUCUGAAGGAUCUCCCCAUUCUUAUCCCAAAUCCAAUAGUAUUACGUACUUCAUCCUUUGUAGUUCCGUAACAUUCCAUAUUUAACUUAGUCAUAUACUAUAUUGCAAUUAUUUUGUUUCCAUAUUCAUCUUCCUCUUCAUAUAGUCAGCUGCCUUUUAACAUAGACCUUAUUCUAUCUCCAGUCACCAGCAUAAAGCCUGGCACAUAGCUGGUGCUAAAUAAAUGUUGGCUGAUGAGCAAAUCAAUGAAUAAGAAUACAUUUAUUUGGCUGAAUAAAUUGUGACCUUAAUAAGGAUAUAAAGGGACUAGUGAUGUGGCAUAGCAGGUUAAGCCAUCACAUAUGAUGCUGGCAUCCCAUCUGGGUGCCAGCUUGUCCUGGUAGCUCCAUUUCCAAUCCAGCUCCCUGCUAAUAUACCUGAGAAAGCAGUGGAAGAUUGCCCAAGUACUUUGGGCCCAUGCACCCACAUGGGAGACCUGGAUUAAGCUCAUGGUUCAGUCUGGCCUAGCUCUGAAUGACGUGGCCAUUUGGGGAGUGAGCCACUGGAUGAAAGAUCUCUCUGUCUCUCUCUCUAACUCUGACUUUCAUGUAGAUAAAUAAAUCUUAAAAAAAAAAAUGAUAGAGGCCGGCGUUGUGUAGCAGGUAAAGCUGGCUCUGUGACACUUGCAACCCAUAUGGGUGCUGGUUCUUGUCCCGGCUGCUCCACUUCCUUUUUUUUUUUUUUUUUUUUUUUGACAGGCAGAGUGGACAGAGAGAGAGAGAGAGAGAGAGAGAGAAAGGUCUUCCUUUUGCCGUUGGUUCACCCUCCAAUGGCCGCCGCAGCUGGCGCACUGCCGCCGGCCCAGCUGCUCCACUUCUGAUCUAGCUCCCUGCUAAUGCUCCUGGGAAAGCAGGGGAUGAUGGCCCACAUCCUUGGGCCCCUGCAUCCAUUUGGGAGACCCAGAUGAAGCUACUGGCUCCUGGCUUUUGCCUGGCCCAGCCCUGGCCAUUGUGGCCAUUUGGAGAGUGAACCAGAGGAUGGAAGAUCAAUCAAUCUCUUGAUCUCUCCCUCUCUCUGGAACUCAAUGACUUUCAAAAUAAUAAAUAAAAUCCAAAAGAAAAAAAAAAGGAUAUUAAAUAACAGGGAAGUGAAGCUGAAUGGAUUCUGUGGUUACACCAUAUUGGGCUUGGAUGAUAUCUCUAACCAAGGUGGGAAAAGAAAUGGCUAGGGAGUGGCAAGGAAAUGGCUCUCCCAGACCUCUGUGCGAUAUUCCCCUUACUUGUCUCUUCAGUUGUGUCCCUCUUUUUGUUCCGAAAGGCAUUUUGAUAUCCCAUUAGGUAUAAGUUGAAGAAGGCCAUCUCAGCUCCUCCCUGUGCUCUUCUAGAAUGUCUCCACUGGAGCACUGGGGAGUCUGUGUUUGGUAACCACGGUAACGUCACAAAGAAUUUCCAUGACUGACACUCCCUUUGUCUAAUGAGGGACAGGAUUUUUGGGUUCACAGUGGAGUUGGAAUGAGGGAGAGCUGUACAAUCUCAAAACAAUGAAGGAAUUGUCAGUACACCUUUUUCUUGACUCAGUCUUUUUUUCUUUUUCCAAGAUUUAUUUACUUAUUUGAAAGUCAGAGAUGCAGAGGGUGAGGGAGAGAUCCACUGGUUCACUCCCCCGAAUGCCUCAACAGCUAGACCAGACUGAAGUCAGGAGCCCGGAACUCCAUCCUGGUCUGCCAUGUUGGUGCAGGGCCCAAGCACUCGGGCCAACUUCCACUGCUUUGUUAGGUACAUUAGCAGAGAGCUAGAUCGGCAGUGGAACAGCCAGGACUGGAAACUGCACUCAUAUGAGAUGCCAGCAUUACAGGAGGUGGCUUAGCCUGCUUUGCCACAACAGUCUUAUAUUGUUUCAGAAGGCAGUAAAGAGAGCAUUGAUAUGGGUGCAAAUCUUAGUUUUGUCAUAUUUUAGGUUUGAGUUUGAAUAGAUUAACUAAGCUUAUGUUUCUAAUUUAAAAGAAAUGUCAAAUUAUGACAAAAUCUAUCUCAUAAUUUUAAGAAUGAAAUUAGCUAAUACAUGCAAAUUUCCUUAUCGUACUAUUUAGCACCUAACAGAACCUUAAGAGGCAAUAUUUUGAUUUGCGUAUGAGGGUGGGCCUUUGGUCUAGCAGUUAAGAUGCCAGGUGGAAUGCCCACAUCUCACACCAGAGUGCCUGGGUUUGACACCUGGUUCUGUUACAGGCCUCCAGCUUUCUGCUAAUGCAGACCUUAGGAGGCAGCAGUGAUAGCUCAAGUGGUGAAGUUACCAACACCUACCUGGAUGAUGUGGAGUGAGUUAGGUCCCAGUCAAGGGUUGUUGCAGGCAUGGGGGUUGUAAACCAGUGGUUGGGAGCUUUCUCUGUGUCAAAUACACAAAGAUUUAAAACAAUUUAGGAGCCAGCAUUGUGGUGCAAUGGGUUGAGCCACUGCUUGUGACUCCAGCAUCCCACACUGGAGCAUUGGUUUGAGUUCCAGAGCCUUCAUUUCCAAUCCAGCUCCCUGCUAAUGUGACUGGGGAGGCAGUGGAAGAUGGCCUAGCUUUUGGGCCCCUGCUACCUGCUGGCCCCACGUCUUUGCUUUCUUAAAGUCCGUUUUCUCUUUACUUUUCAGUUUGGGAAACUCCCAGAACCUAUUUUCUUUCUCUCUUUAUUUUCUUUAAGAUUUAUUUAUUUAUUUAUUUUACUUAUUUGAAAGAUAGAGUCACAGAGAGAGGUAGAAACAGAGAGAGAGAGGUCUUUCAUCCGCUGGUUCACUCCCCAGAUGGCCUCAAUGGCCAGAGCUGUACUGAGCCGAAGCCAGGAUCCAGGAGCUCCUUCUGGGUCUCCCACAUGGGUGCAGGGGCCCAAGGACCUGGGUUAUUGUCCGCUGCUUUCCCAGGCACAUUUAGCAGGGAGCUGGAUUGCAAGUGGAGCAGGCAGGACUCAAACCAGUGCCUAUUUGGGAUGCUGGCGCUGAGGGCAGGGCCUUAACCCACUGUGCCACAGUGUCAGCCUCAGGACCUAUUUUUUUUUUUAAUUUAUUUGACAGGCAGAGUUAUAGACAGAGAGAAAGGUCUUCCUUCUGUUGGUUCACCCCCAAAAUGGCUGCUACAGCCGUAAUUGCGCAGAUCUGAAGCCAGGAGCCAGGUGCUUCUUCCUGGUCUCCCAUGUGGGUGCAAGGGCCCAAGCACUUGGGCCAUCCUUCACUGCCUUCCCAGGCCACAGCAGAGAGCUGGACUGGAAGAGGAGAAGCCGGGACUAGAACCGGCACCCAUAAGGAAUGCCGGAGCCGCAGGUGGAGGAUUAACCAAGUGAGCCCCGGAUACCUUGGAAUAAACUUAACCAAGGAUGUUAAAGAUCUCUACAAUGAGAAUUACAAAACCUUAAAGAAAGAAAUAGAAGAGGAUACCAAGAAAUGGAAAAAUCUUCCAUGCUCAUGGAUUGGAAGAAUCAAUAUCAUCAAAAUGUCCAUUCUCCCAAAAGCAAUUUCUAGAUUCAAUGCAAUACCAAUCAAGAUACCGAAGACCUUCUUCUCAGAUCUAGAAAAAAUGAUGCUGAAAUUUAUAUGGAGACACAGGAGACCUCGAAUAUCUAAAGCAAUCUUGUACAACAAAAACAAAGCCGGAGGCAUCACAAUACCAGAUUUCAGGACAUACUACAGGGCAGUUGUAAUCAAAACAGCAUGGUACUGGUACAGAAACAGAUGGAUAGACCAAUGGAACAGAAUUGAAACACCAGAAAUCAAUCCAAACAUCUACAGCCAACUCAUAUUUGAUCAAGGGUCCAAAACCAAUCCCUGGAGUAAGGACAGUCUAUUCAAUAAAUGGUGCUGGGAAAAUUGGAUUUCCACGUGCAGAAUCAUGAAGCAAGACCCCUACCUUUCACCUUACACAAAAAUUCACUCAACAUGGAUUAAAGACUUAAAUCUACGACCUGACACCAUCAGAUUAUUAGAGAGCAUUGGAAAAACCCUGAAAGAUAUAGGUACCGGCAAUGAAUUCUUGGAAAACACCCCAGAAGCACAGGCAGUCAAAGCCAAAAUUAACAUUUGGGAUUGCAUCAAAUUGAGAAGUUUCUGUACUGCAAAAGAAACAGUCAGGAAAGUGAAGAGACAACUGACAGAAUGGGAAAAUAUAUUUGCAAACUAUGCAACUGAUAAAGGGUUGCUAACCAGAAUCUACAAAGAAAUCAAGAAACUCCACAACAUCAAAACAAACAACCCACUUAAGAGAUGGGCCAAGGACCUCAAUAGACAUUUUUCAAAAAAGGAAAUCCAAAUGGCCAACAGGCACAUGAAAAAAUGUUCAAGAUCACUAGCAAUCAGGGAAAUGCAAAUCAAAACCACAAUGAGGUUCCACCUCACACCAGUUAGAAUGGCUCACAUUCAGAAAUCUACCAACAAUAGAUGCUGGAGAGGAUGUGGGGAAAAAGGGACACUAACACACUGUUGGUGGGAAUGCAAACUGGUUAAGCCACUAUGGAAGUCAGUCUGGAGAUUCCUCAGAAACCUGAAUAUCACCCUACCAUUCAACCCAGCCAUCCCACUCCUUGGAAUUUACCCAAAGGAAAUUAAAUUGGCAAACAAAAAAGCAGUCUGCACAUUAAUGUUUAUUGCAGCUCAAUUCAUAAUAGCUAAGACCUGGAAUCUACCCAAAUGCCCAUCAACAGUAGACUGGAUAAAGAAAUUAUGGGACAUGUACUCUAUAGAAUACUAUAUAGCAGUCAAAAACAACGAAACCCAGUCAUUUGCAACAAGAUGGAGGAAUUUGGAAAACAUCAUGCUGAGUGAAUUAAGCCAGUCCCAAAGGGACAAAUAUCAUAUGUUCUCCCUGAUUGGCCCCAGGACCUAUUUUCAAACUUUUUCAAACUCACUGAUUCUUUCUUUGUCAUAUCAUCUACUGAUAAGCUUAUCAGUGGCAUUUUUUUAUUGAUGUUACAGUGUUUCUUUCUUUGAGCACUUCCUUUGAAUCUUUUAAGAUUUAUUUAUUAUUUAUUUGAAAGGCAGAGUUAUAGAGAGGCAGAGGCAGAGGCAGAGAGAGAGAGAAAGGUCUUCCAUCUGUUGGUUUACUCCUCAGAUGGCUGCAAUGGCUGGAGCUGCACUGAUCUGAAGCCAGAAACCAGGAGCUUCUUCUGGGUCUCCCACUUGGCUGCAGGGCCCAAGGACUUGGUCCAUCUUCUACUGUUUUUCCAGGCCAUAGUAGAGAGCUGGAUUGGAAGUGGAGCAGCUGAGACUUGAACCAGCUCUCAUAUGACCACUCAGGCAGCAGCUUUACCCUCUACACCACAGAAUUGGCACCUCCUUUGAUUCUCAGAGAUUUUUUUUUUUUUUUUUUUUGACAGGCAGAGUGGACAGUGAGAGAGAGAGAGACAGAGAGAAAGGUCUUCCUUUGCCAUUGGUUCACCCUCCAAUGGCUGCCGCGGCCAGCGCACCGCGCUGAUCCGAUGGCAGGAGCCAGGUACUUAUCCUGGUCUCCCAUGGGGUGCAGGGCCCAAGCACUUGGGCCAUCCUCCACUGCACUCCCUGGCCACAGCAGAGAGCUGGCCUGGAAGAGGGGCAACCGGGACAGAAUCCGGCACCCCGACCGGGACUAGAACUCGGAGUGCCAGCGCCGCUAGGCGGAGGAUUAGCCUGUUGAGCCACGGCGCCGGCUUGAUUCUCAGAGAUUUCAUCUCUGCUUAUAUCACCCACAUAUUCUUGCUAGUUGUCUACUUUUCCCAUUAGGGGACUGGUAUUGUGAUGCAACGUGUUAAGCUGCUAUUUGUGACACCAGUAUUCUCUACCGGAGCGCUAGUUCUAGUCCCAGCUUCUCUAGUCCCAUCCAGCUUCCUACUAACAUGCCUGAGAAGACAGCAGAGGAUGGCCCAGAUACUUGGGCCCCUGCCACUCAUGUAGGAGACCAUUAUGGAAUUCCUGGCUCCUUCUUGAGCUGGCCCAAACUUUGCUGCUGCAGUCACUUAGGGAAUCAACAAGUGGAUGGAAGGUCUGUCUCUUCCUCUCUCUCUCUUGCUCUGCUUUUCCAAUAAACGUUAAAUCUUAAAAAAAAAAAGAGUAAAAGUAGUAAAUACUAAAAA